AUCAGCAGUUCGGGAGGUUCUGUCCGCCCCCGCCCCCCACGGUCAGUUUCCCGGAGGCCCCGCCCCUCUUUGUAAAGGCUUAAUUGACCGAGGCUGAGAGUGGAACUCAGUUUUUCGAAUCGGAAGUUCUACAGACUUUCGAAGUGGAAUGGGGUCAUCACCCCAUUCGGCUCCUUACCACGUGUUUUACAAGCAGACAGGACGACGCCCGAUUCCUUCUCUGCCUCUGCAAGUUUCUCUCCUAGUGAAACUGUGUGGAAGUGGGGAAAGCAACCUUGCCGAAGAUCACAGAAUUUCCAGGGGACAACGGUACCCCCCCCCCAAGGCCUGGGCCUUUGGUUGCUCUGAAGGGCUGUCCUGGCUGCACAGCAGCAGUGUCCUGCCUUGUCACAGUGUUGCUUCUGAGAGCUCAACCCAUGGAACUUCUACAGAAAAAUCUGNNNGAGUCUGGUUCCGCAGGAGCGUCCCUAGACCUUCUACAUAAAAUCAGAUACCCGAGAAAGGUAAAGUGUGUUGAGGCCGAGGCUUGGUGGUACAGCUCAUCCUUAGCAUUUUCAAGGCCCAGGCU
rnacentral:lncRNA from 1 species